CACGCCCGCCCCGGCGUUUCUAACGGGAGGGGCCAGAGCGGCUCUGCGAGGAGGCCAAAAUCAUUACUGGCCACCUCAGUGUUUUCACCGCCUCCGUGCGAGGGAUGACCAACAAAGCGGUACUAACCAGUUAUGUAAGAUCACGUCACUGAAGAAGCUGAGUACAGAGAUGAAUUUAGAGCCUCAGAAAUGCAAGAAUCAGAUGACACAUGUUGGGCACAGAACACCCCUGCCUUGUGUACAACAUUAACAUUUAAUCAGCGAGAGAGUGACGGAGAGAGAGAUCAUCUCAAGCAGAUUCCAGACUUGGAGCCCGAUGUGGGGCUCAAUCCCAAGAUUCUGGGGAUCACGACCCGAGCCAAAAUCAAGAGUCGGACACUCAACUGACUGAGCCACCCGGGUGCCCCUGAAUAAAACUUUAAGAAAUUC